AUUUCGGUCAGAUAAUAUUUAAACAUACAGACAAACUGUAGGAGUACACUUUUACUCAAUUACAUUUGAGGUGAAGUUUGAAGUUGUUUUAACAGCAUGGGUGAUUGUGUAGUUGCUUGUUAAGUUUUGGCUUUCUUGCUAAGCCCACUUUUUCUGCAAGGUAAAGGCACGUUCGGUUCUGACUGGAUUGAGGGCACUGGACUGGCAGCUCUCAACGGUACAGCAUAUUUCUUAGAAGUCAUCUCCUUCAUAAUUCUGCUUUUGCCAGUAAUAUUUGGAGCAUUUGAGGCGUGUAUAAACAGCAGCGCAUCGUCUUCAGAAGUAACCUGUUGCGGUGUUUGCAGUGGCAUCUUGUUUCUCCUGUACCCAUUAGGAAGUCUGUUCAGUAUGGCUGGAUACAUACUGAUAAAAGUUAAGUUCUCAAAAUCUACUCUUGGAGCGUCCAUCGACUUCUGUCUCGCCUCAAGCCUGUACAUUCUACUUGUUACCAUUAUCAUUGUGGCUAUCAUAUGCUUAUGCCGAGACAAAAAAGCAAGCAACACAAAUAUGAAGCAAAUGACGCUCGAAACGCAAGCUGCAACCGCAUCUCCG